AUUAAAACCAAAGAAAUAUAUGCUUUGAAAUAGUCGAACAAAACUGUUUGUUAAAUUUGAAGAAAUCCUUCUCUCUGUGUAAUCAAUUGUAAAAAGGAAGGGCUUUCCAUUAACGUGCAGUUACAUUUUUAUUAAAUGUAUUAAACGACGAGUGCUUCAUGCUUUUUGUCACUUGUAUAAAUAUACUAUAGAAUAAUAUAGAAAUAGUUAUGUUGCAUUGGCAAUCUAGAUAUCUCAUUGACCCAUCAGCGAAUUUUCUAUUACAUUUGUUAAAUAAGAUGUGAAGAAUACGAUACAUGAUUGUGUCGUUACAAAGAGGAAAAUGCGCCCUGUCAGUAUAAUUCCGCGUGACGAGCAAGUGAACUUGUAUUACAAGAUAUACUCAUGCAUUUCAGAGCAAUUUAGAAGUCAAAAAAAUCGGACACAAAUACAUAACAGUUAAUGACAUUUCGUGUAUCGUCUUUUCUGCCCGGAGAUCGCUGAUGUAGGACGCGAAUCAAAUCCUUCUGUCACCCGCCGUAUCUUGAUAGAAGAGCAGAGAAGAACGUACGACCUAGGAGUGGAGAUACUGAGAAAUGACGAAGCUAAGUACCUAGGAGUGAUAUAAAGGUUUAGAUGGCGAGUAACACAAUGGCACUAUCGGUUCAUUUAUCAGCCUUUCGCGACGACAGCGACGGCGACGGCGACGACGACGACGACGACGACGACGCCUAAGAGGGAGAGGAAGAAAGAGAAAAUGCGAGCUAUGUCGGAUACGUCGACGUCGACGACGACAAGGUAUUGUGUGGGGGACAAGGAGUUCCAUCAUCUGCAUUAUGAGUUUUAAUCAAAUCGUUUCCCUUUGAACCCCUGGUAAUGAACAGUGGAACUGUCGCUUUGCGCAGAGAACACGACCUGAUCUAAGAUCAACAAAUAUUUGCGGGGGAAAAUUACAUUGCGUACAUUUUCGAAAAUCCUACAUCGUAUCUGAUAAACUCGAACAACGUAUUACUCAGGAUUCAGACAUUACGUAUGAAUUAGAAUGUCUCAUUAAAUUACUAUCGUCUAUUUUGCCUGACAGCCAACGAAAGUAAGCUACAUUUGACAGAUUCGGACAUGAAUACUUGAUUCCGUGGAACUCUUCUAGUCGCCAUCUUGCUCCCGGCACAGCCUCUCUGAAGAAGGGAGUGCCGUGUCCUCGGUCGCGUGCAAUCGCCAAGCCAAGCGCGAGAGCAGGGCGAGAGCGGAAGGUGGUCAGCACACCUCCCCUCAUAGAGGGUGGGGACAACCAGGAGCACCGUCCUACUUUGCCGUGAGUGACCAACCAAACGAUCGUUUGUUCGCGGACAGGCCACGGAAGAGGGAGAGAAAGGAGAUCGCACAUUGAUCCGCGGGUGCAUCAGCAACUAAUUACGCAGAUUUAUGUCCCCAUUGUCCAUUGUCUCUCUACCGGGAGCGAUUCUCUCGUUGCCCCGGCGCGGACCAUUCGAUGGAAGCGACUGGCCGGCCGAUCCGGUUGGGACCAGCCGUAGGACGGCGAGAAGGUGCACGACUACGGAGAGAACGACGGGGCGACGAAAGGAGAUAAAAGGAGGACCUUUCAGAGGAUCGCUUGAAUCCAGGCGCGUAUCGAAGAGGGGAAUACAAGAAGGAACCGAGCGGGCGGACCACCGGCAGGCAGCCCCGCCCGCUAAGAGCAUGGUUCAUCUUCUACCCUUCCGGGGCCCCCCUUCGAGCCCUCGAUCGUAGAUCCAUGGAAUCUAAUAUUUGCGUGCCGCUACUUUUAUCCGUUCCUACACACUGUGGCUUGUCUCUUGUUCGACAAUUUGAAGAGAUAUUAUUUCGAAAUUUCAAUCGUGAUCGUCAGACCGCGUUCUAUCUUCGUCUUCAGCCAGAGACUUCAACGAGCGUUAUUCCGUUUCCGAAAGUAACAGGUAACUUUGAUAAACUUGAUUACCUUACACACACGCAACGAUUACAUUAAAAAAAAUCUUCAUAAAAAUCCAUUAGAUUAUUGAUUGAAUCAAUGUAACCAGCGCUUAAGUCUUUUAAAAAAAAUAAAAUAUAUUCAAACGAUGUUGUUUGUUGUAUUCCAGAGUCAUGAGACUUCGAUAAUUUAGUAGAGUACCAAGUCGUAAUGACAAGGGUCACCACGGGUUUCGCGACUCGAAAGUAUUCCAUCGGCGAUCGGGAUCGAUCGGAUGUCGACGUCGGGCUCAGUAGGAUGCAAAUGCUCGCACGAGCGCAGUUCGUGCGGGGCUAUUGGCAGGCUGCUAACAAGGACCGCACCGGGUUGCACACAUCCCGGACGCAACCCGCCGCGCCGGUAAGAUACGCCUCGGGAACGAGAAGCGUGGCGUACCGAGCUUAAAAGCGGCCGAGUCUUGACACUCGGCAAGAUGCUACCGACCGAUAUCCGGCUCCUCUUGUCCUUGACUCGACCAAACCGCUGCACGUUAGAAAAGAAGCGCAAGUGUAUUAGCGGUCUUGUGCUAUGCCGAGAGCGAGUCGCGUUAUCUACGAUGGCGAUGGUUCUGCACCAAUAGUCCGCCUACGACUCUUGGUCCAGAACAAUAAUUAGUCUUAUCGGCGAAGCAUCCGCUUUCAAGCCCGUUACAAUCUCUGCUUGAUUUUUCUCUCAUUCUCUCUCUUUCUCUCCCUCUCUUUUCCUCUAGCGUGCUCUCUCUUCUUUCUUUUACAAAUGUGUGUCGCUGUGCACUCCCCAUCUCUCCUCUCACCCCUUUGUCGUGUCUCUCCUCGCCUGCCCUCACAACGAACCUGCGCACGAGUUACCGAUAUAGAUAGCAGACACCUGCAUAUGUUGGCGUACAUGUGUUGGUGAUGUACUCAAGGGCUAACUAGUAUUGGUUAGCUAUCCUGCGCUAGUUGUAAGGACGAUCUAGUCGUAAGUCGAACAACUGAACUAGUCACGUUCGCUAUUCGCGUGGACGAUCGGCAGUUGCUAAUUGCUGAUAAAUCCCAAACUCUAUAUGCGAAACUUUCAACGUGCAUUGUAAAGAAAAUGGAACAACUAGGUCGUCCUUAGUUAAUUGCAUUAAUAUUGCAGUUUAAAAGAAAAAUAUCAAUCAUUUUUGGAUGCAUACAAAUAAUGUAAUGUCGCAUAUUAUAACAAGAAUUGAAAAAUACAUUAAGAAUUUCAAAGAUGACAGAUAAUAAAACUGUCUAGAUAAUGACAUAAUUCCAAAUUUUCUCAAAAAUACUGCCAUUACUCAAGCAUAAAAUUCUCUCGCGCGACGUUCACGCGCAAAUGUUUUUCAUUCGAUCGAGAUAUGCUGAUAUCACUGAUAAAAUUAUAUGCGAAAGUGUUAAUCUCGCAAAUGUUAAUUAGCUAUUACGCCACGGUCGUCAAUAGUAAAUUACGAGCUAUUAAUGGGAGAGAGCCUAUCGGUGUGGAUCAACGAAAGGAUCGACUUUAAUUUAACAGUUUAUGUGCGCGGUGCACAUGCGGAGUGUAACCUGCUAUCAUCCGGUGAGAGCGCGCGCACGCGAUAUAGUGCUGGAAUGAUCGCCAACAAGGUGAUAAAGUCCUCACGAUCGGUCUCUACGAUAAAUAAUCACUCGGUUGCGCGAUGUUUUCAACCCCGCCGUGGUAAAUUAUCGUCGCGCUCAGUUGUAGCCUCUUCAGCCUUGUUCCUUAUUCCACCGUAUGGAUAAUAUUGUUAUACGCGAGAUUGAUAAGUACGUUUCUCGGGAUCAGGUGUGUCAAGCGAUAACACACGUUAUAGCUUGAUCAUUUUUGUCGAAAUGCCGAAAAAUAUCGUAUCACAUAAGAUGAGCCGCGCGGCAAGUCGUACCUUAAUAAAUUACGGUGCAAGAAUAGUUCGGUGAAUGAUUACUAACCGUCGGAAAACGACAAUCGAAGCUACGGAGAUUUUCGUUUAUAGACUAUUGUCUGCGACUAGCUUUGGUUCAUGACGAGCGCCAGUCGAAUCAACGGAUACCAGUCGAAGUCGCGCAUAGGCAGGCGUCCUAUAGACGUCAGAUUUCGUAGCGCUCGGUCGAACGAAAUGAAAAGCGCGAACGGAGCUCCGCUAGAUUGCGGCGCGUAAUAUUCGCGGCAGCCCGUGCGAUUUUGUUACGAGGCGGCACGACAAUUUCGCAGCAGAAACACCGGCCCCGGAAAUUCAAGAUCUUCGAGCUCGGUAUUUCAAGGCGGGGGUAACUUGAAAGGGUAGCUGGAGGGCGGACGCGCGAGAAAGAGAGAGAGAGAGAGAGAGAGAGAAGAACGGGAAAGAUUUCGAGUACACGUAGAGAAGGCGACGGCAGCAGGGAAAAGCAAUCGGGCGACGCGGAUUCGGGGUUUUCACAGCCCUUGUCGAUCGCGCGAGAUUGAACGAGGCGUGUCCAAGUGCCGCGACUUCGGAAUAUCCGUGGAAAAUUGAAGGAGAGCACGCUCUAUGCGGAUUCCGUUUCCAAUGGACUUCCACAGCGUGGCAAUGCAUCCGUCUCGAUCGCUUUUUAAACUGUUAACCGAUGGUCUCUACGCAGCCAUUCCUGUACAAGUUUAAUGCGUAUGUGAUAGAUUGACUCAAAGUUUCACCCGAUUAAAAAAUACAUUUCCGGAUGAGCCUGAAGUAAAAUUCUGUAAGAGUGUCCGCGUAGAAUAAAAUUUCAUGGAGGAAAAUUCGCGUUUUUCGAAAUUGUAUUCAUUCCAAAAUGGAAUUCUAAAUGAAAUGUUCUCGUGUUACAAACUGUUUCUUAAAAUAAUUUUGGUAAUUUUAACAUCAUUGUUCUAUGCAUUAUUCGAAUCCUAAUCGCGCUUUUCUACUUGCGUUUCUAACGGACGCGGGUCAUCAAUGUCAUCAGCAAUUUCUUUCGAUAGGUCAUCUCAAGAAUUAUACAUAUAGAUGUAGGAUCUGACCAGGGAACAUCGUUUACGAUGACGCGAGUAAAAGUGGAGGAACGCAGCAAUGGUUCGUAGUGGAAGGGGAAAUUCGACAGACUGAUGGAGUGAGUGUUGACUUAGGAUAACAGUCGCCUCAUCAGUCAAUCAGUCAGGUAGACAACGGUAGGAAGGUACUCCGUCUUCGGUUGGAGCCUGUCGUCUUGUUCUGUUCACGUCGUCCUAAAGAACACCUAAGUGAGUCACGAAUCUGACCACCUGACAUUCAAGGGACUUAAGAUCGAGGGCUAAAAUGAAAAAAAAAAAAAGAAAAGAUAGUAGGACGAGUCUGAAGGCAUCGAAUGUUAAAGAAGUCUGUUUGUGGUCCCCAAUACCAAGUGCAUUGAUCUAAUUCCUCAGAUGUUUCUUAAUGCAUCUUCUCAAAGUGAUAUUGAAAACGAAUAAAUGUUGGUGGUUUAAUUUUGUAAAGGAUGUAAAUUUUUCCCUUUUAAAUUAAAAACUUAAUUUUUGUCAUUCAUAUAAUAUCAAAUAAUUUUAUCCCACUUUUGACGAUAUAUUUAAGUGUGCUGAGUUAAUAAAUUAAGAUUCAAAUAUAUAUAUAGUAUAAUAGUUUUCAAUUAUUUCAUGCAUAAAUAUUACACUAAGGAAGAUGAUACCAGCCGGUAUAUACCAGCUCAUAUAGUUCCAUUUCUAUUACAGUAACUAUUAUUCGUUUCAUUUGUACGACAUUUCAAGUAUAUGUUAUUCUAAGAAUAUCAUAUAAUCGUCUUUAUCCUCAAACUCUCGAAACAAGAGUGAUAUUCUUCUGGGUUUGGAGCGCGACCCUCCUGAUCGAUCUGAAAAAUCUGGAUCAUCACUCGAGGAAGUCGUAAAUCAACGUCUUGUAUCUCUCGAAUACGGAUUGAGUAUGAGGCUUUCAAAGUCGGUUGCUUCGAGAGAGAAGGAGGAAUCGCUGGCUGUACGUGAGGGGGGAGGGGGAAGAGGGAAAACGAAAGAGACACGGAAAGAAGGACAGAAGGCACGCGCGAGGGAGAAAGGAAGAGGUGCGGAGGAAGGAGAAAACGGAUUCACCCGUCAGUCACUCUCUGGCAGACCGCGAGAGAAUCACAAUGCGAGGCCUCCCUCUUCUCGCCGUCCCUCUUCGUCCUUCUGUCCGCCCGUCCGUUCGUCCGUCUGUCUGCCUGUCCAUCCGUUCGUCUCUUCGUCUGCCUCCUGUCACUCUCCCCGCCAGCCUUCCGACGGUUCUCGCAUCAGAAAUUCAUCUCCUCUCCUGUCCUCCUCCGGGUUCUCCUUUUGUUCCUUCCCUGCCGCCGCAGCCGCCGGCUUGUUAUUAUGUACUGUUUUAUUGCCAGGACGUUGCUAAAGUUCGACCCGGUUACUUGCCCUGGCGUGGCGUCAUUGCUGCCGCGAGGGAGUGAGUGAGUGAAAAAGAUAGGAAGAGAAAGAGAGAGAAAGAUCCGGGCCUCCUCGGGAUAUUCGCCGAGAUAACCGUGCGCGAGUAGUACUACUUAUCAAAGAUCCGUCUCGGAAGGCGUCCCGGCAACUUCGCUCGGCCGUCGUCCCGACGUGGAAGAGACGAGAAAUUAACUUCGUGCACCGUGAAGCCGGGCGGCUCUCGCGAAGAUCUUUUCUGAUGUGUACGCAGCUCUACAUUCUAACACGGUGGUUAUGUAAUUACUGGUAUCCACCGACGGCCUGUCUGACAAUGAGAAACAAAGUAAAGGCCGGUAGAUGGCUCAUGUACGUAGUAGCUCCCACACAGUUGAUUACGAAUGCCUAGUAUAUUGAAUCGAUGUAAAUAUAUAUAUGUAAAGUAUUUUUUGAAGAAUUUUUUCUGUGCGUUACACUUCAAAACGUAACAUCAAGAAGACCUUUUUAAAAAAAUGUAUGUCAAGUGCAUUAAUAAAUAUUUUAAGUUUAUAUACAUUAUUAAAUAAAAAAUCAAUUGUUUAAAAAUAGAUCUGAAAUCAACCGAUGAUUAGCAAGUAUAAUGAUUAAUAGGAGAAUGUUUACGUAACUCAUUCAUGAUUCGACUAAUGACUUGAAAAUGAUGUUUUUUAAUUGUGUUUUGGAGCAAAGAUGCGAUACGAUAUAUUGUAACGUUUCAAUUUUGCAUCAAUAUAAUUUUCUUUCUAAUUGCGACUUUAAUCGCGAAGAGUCGUAUCUGUAUACUAUAUUUACAUAAACAAUUCUCAGCUAUCUUACGUUACUUUUAAAGCUGCCGUUCCGUAUAUCAGAUUUCUUAUAAACAAUUAAACAGAUAUCUUGCGUUAUAAAUUUUCUUUCUUCUGGAUGAACGUUCGGCGUGCAUAAUUACAAGUAAACCUAACUGAUUUAGCGCGUUGAUUGCACGUAAAUCACUAAAGUACACAAGCUGACACUAACGCGGAUGCCUAUGAACGUUAAAAUUUACGCCUUACUCACAGCCGCAAUUUAUGAACAUGCACUAAAGGAUCCUUGUCUUAGCACCUUAUUUUUCGUUCUGCCAUUUGUAAGGCUUACCGCAUUUCAUCUCGGCGACUCGUUCCGCCUUCGUACGUCUAAGAGUGACAAAUCGUUUUCCGGAAGAAUGGCCUCAAAAGAAUACGUUCAAAAAUUGACGGAAAAUAAUCAGUUUCAUUCUCAAUUUUAAAAGACGUAUUAUAUUACAUCAUAUUACAUAAAAUUAUAUGAAAGGACUAAAUAUUUCUGGUUAAAUUAAAUCUAUAUAGAGUGAUAAAUUAAAGAUCGCUAUUUAUUACACGUUUUGUGUAUUUAACACUAAUUGCUAUAUAGAUUAAAUUAAUGUUUUUUUAAAUAUAAUACAAAUAAUAUUUAAAACAAGUACUAAUUUAUCUCAGAUUAUAAAACAACCAGCAGUUAUAAUCAAUUCUUCUAUCAUUACAAGGCUCCAUAAUUUACUCUUAACGAGAAAGCUAGCGAAUAUAUCACACAAUCAUUAAUUUACUUUAAUAUGCAAAUAAACUUGAUGUUAAGGAUUAUAUCGAUGAAAUCUAAUCUCCUACAUAAAUAGAUAAUUUGUUCUGAGCAAAUAUAUUAAUUUUAAUUCUACUCGGGGUUAAUUUUAUCUCCUAACGUUAUGGAAAAAUUAAUAUAAAUCAUACGAAUAAAGCCGUCUCAUCGCUACGCGCAAUUCACCCGAAAUUCCACAGACUAAAACCCAUUCCUUCAACACACGUUUUGCUCUCUCGGCGCGCGCUAAUCCAAUUUGCGCGUGCAUGAGACGAGGGUGAGCGGCUCGAUUCGUGUAUUAAUUCGUUCUGGCGUGGACGCGGAUUGUCCGCGCGCGAUUAGACGUCGCGCCAACGUCGCAGUAGCGCGUUAGAAACGUAGAUAUAUCCGCGGAGAUCCGGGAUGAUGAGUGAUCCGGCGAAGGGGAGGGGAUUCAAACGAGCGGCGGCGGGGUAUAACCGAGCAAAGACAUUUGGACUUGACGGUGAGUGAUGGACAGGGGGGGGUCCGGCGACGCAAGAGCUGUGUCUCGUGAAAAAAAGGUUGGCGUUUUGGCAAGGCGCGCCGCUCGCUGCUCGAACGCGUGUACGAGUUAUUAACGUUCAUAUUUUAGUGACAGUCUUUGCGUAGUGUGUAUCAUGCGCGUGCGUGGAGAAGACCCCCCUGACACACGGCGAAUAACCUGCUUGGCGAUGAGAGCCGGGCGAGAGCACAUGCGGCAAUAAAUCCUGACCUGCGCCACUAAUUUUCACGGAGAGCCGUUGCAUACAUCGUACCUACGCGAAGCGUGCCCGCACGAUACCUGCCAGAUAGGUGCAUCUGCAUCGUUACCGCUAGAACGCGGCCGGGGUCACCUGAUGUACCUGGACCGAGAUCGGCGCUGUUACCGAACCGGCCGAUCGUGUCCUUGUAACUUUUAUCGGAGCGGCUAUACGGAUGACGGCGUUUCGCGCGAAAUUUAUUGCCGUCGCCGACGAGACGGUUGUAUCUCGACCGUGAGACGCACGAGCGGCCUUUCCAAGUGCCUCCUCCUGAUGUAUUUCGUUGAUUAAAACGCGUUAAUUUUCUCUGCCGCGGAUUUUUACGACGGCGAGUCCCUCCGUGAAAUUAUUAACCAUUAAAUGCGUACGCGCCGGGAAGCCGCGUGUGAUCCGAAGGAGGCCUCAUAAAUUCCUCGGCGUUUCAUUUUAAUACCUAUUUCGCUUAUUAUUAUUCUAAAUAAGUCAGUCGCGUUCGACGCGUUCCUUAAAAGCCGUUCCUCAGAAGCGCGCCAAAUAAUUACAACAUCAGGCUGCGCGAGAAAGAGCAAAAUAAAAAGACAACGAGAGGAACACAUCGCGGCAAGAAUAAUAUCACGAGUUGUAAUUCGAUUCGGAGAAAGUUAAAAGCUGUUACUUUCAAAAACAUAUAUAUUCUUGCAAAAAUAAUUUCGCGCAGAUGUUGUUUUACUUGGCGAGGGAAUAAAGAAACUUACUUCAUUUCCAGAAUUAAGUAUGCCGCAAAUGUAUUGCGCAAUAACCACAGUGUCUUACGCGCGAUCAUUAUCGUUUAUUCUUGAAUUGGUGAGUUUCAAUUAAUGCACGGUCCGCAUCACGGAAAUUCCAUUAGGGACGCGAUUUAUCCUUAAUUGCCUGCGAACUUCCGACGACACGUAAAUAUUUCCUCGGUUAUAUCCUCCGCCGCCGCCGCUGUCCGAUUGCCACCGCGGACCAAAGACAACGAGAUAUUUUCGAGCGAAAAUCUAUCUAUAUACGGCGGACAUCCUUUUCAAAAGCGACUGCGGAGAGAAUCCCUUUACGAAGUUCGUCCGCGGAGAAUUUCUUCGUGAGCUGCAUUUACAAAGAGUCCAACUACGAGGUACAUUAGUCGAGAUUAUAUCCGGCAAAGGAAGUCGACCAACUUUCGAAGACACUGUUGCAACUAAAUCUCUUCGAAUCUGGCGACGUCCAAAGACGUCGAACUUCUGCGGAGUCAGCAACAAACACACCAAAUGCAACAUAGUUGACCGUAAAGCGAAAAGUAUGCACCGCCGAAUUCUUUAUUGCGAAUGAAAUAUGUCUUAUAGAUAUGUAUCUCUUAUAAAUAGAAUUUAAAAAAAAACUACGUCCCUCCUUACUAUCAUCUUUCCUUACUUGACGCCAAAAUUUCUUUUUAAAAAGUACAAAGAAAGGUGGCCUGCACGUGGACAAUGUGUAAUAUACUUGUAUUUCAUCACGCAAGCUCUCAACAUAAAUUUAUUACAGACGCGAAAUUUAUUUAUCAUACAAUGUCACAUUAUAAGUAAUUAAUUAGACGAGAUAGAGGAAUGACACGAGACAGAGAAUGUCUCGGUAAUGGAUUUAGAGCAAAAUAGGCGUUUGUUUUUGCUUCGCUAUUGCAUACUUCAAAUACAAGUAAUAAUAGUUGCCUAAAAUUUAUUAACAACCACAAGAGCAUAAUAUAUUUGAAACAACAUCAUUACUAACAUCACAAAUAUGAAAAUAUGCUACAUAUCAAAAAUAAAAUAAAUAUAAUAAAAUAUUUUAAUAAAUAAAACAAACUUUACUAAUAUUUUAACAGAAAGUUAAUAUAUAAUAAAUAAAAAAGCUAAGAAAAAUUAAAAUUAAAUUUAAUAACAUCACUAAAAUCCGAUGUAGACCGUGAGGUGAUUUUUAAAAAACUCAUUGAUAUGUUUAAUAUUUAAUAUUUAAUGUAAAAUAUUAGUUUUUCCUAUGAAGAUUUAAUUAAACUCGAAAGUACUUAACAUAUAUGAAUAUGCAGCGGCUGUAACCAGCUCACAAUAACACGCGGAUUUCCGGCAAGGUCUGCGAUCCGAGAAAUCGGAGCUGAUUACGCGUUUCAGACAGAUCAAGAAAAGUCGUUCGGUUAUCGCUUUGCGGUUCCAUUUCGAGGCGACAUUCAAGCGACGUAAUGAGUUACGGCACGGCGUCACGUUGGAUUUGCAAGUGAGACGAGUCAACCAGUUGCUCAGUUGGGAUUGUCUCUACCUUUGAGCGGUCGGUUACACAAUACCGCUUUCGAUUUAUCGUUCGAUUUAUUAGUUUCUCCUGUCUCGCUAAUUACUUUCCCAUCGUAGGAAUUCUGGCGCAGUAAAACCCAACGACUUUCGCGCAGCAUCGAAUCGCGUACGAAUUAAAACGAAUCUGCAAGUGAAAAGAGUCCAACCAGUUGCUCUGUGUGUGUGUGUGUGUGUGUGUGUGUGUGUGUGUGUGUGUGCGUGUGUGUGUGUGUGUUUGCCCAGUUCUUCAACUCCCAUAACUACUCGCAUUCGAGCUAAUUUUCCGAAUUUAAUUUGAUUUGUUAAUCGUUCGAUUCUGUUUGACUGGUCAAUUCUCAUAUCAUGACAUAAAUUGCCAAUGAAAGGUGUAAACCUACAUUUACGAUUACAAAAAUGAAUUACAAAAAUGUACGUGCAAAAAAAAACAAUAGAAAUUGAAUCGGUGAGUGUAAAAAAGGGACGAGUUAACGUCUAUGAAAUUUUUCAGCAUUGACAACAAAACAAUAUGAUUAUGACGUUAAUUAAAAGGUAUAUUCCAACGAUUUCAUUCGAAUUCCAAAAAAUAAAAUAUAAUUUGUCAAGACACUUUGAUUCGUAUAUUUCUUAUACUAGACAUGUUAAUCUAUAAUAGAUACAACCGCCACUUGCUACCUGUUUGCAUCUUAGAUAUAAUAAUUACUUAACUGUCUUGUAACACUCUAUAUAUGUAUGCAUAUUUAUGUAUAUCUGUAUUUGUAUAUGUACGUUAUGUGUAUUAUCGUUUCCUUCAUAAGUUUAUUAAGAUAUUGAUCUAUUAUAUUCCUAUUCUAUUUCUACUUUAUUUUUGUGAGAAAAUUAUAUCCAAAUAAAAUUUUUAUGACAUUUAA